GCUCCAGUGGCGCAAUUGGUUAGCGUGCGGUACUUAUAAUACCGAGGUUGUGAGUUCAAGCCUCACCUGGAGCA